rnacentral:rRNA from 1 species
UGAACGCUGGCGGCGUGCCUAACACAUGCACGUCGAGCGGCAGCGAGGGGUGCUUGCACCCUGUCGGCGAGCGGCGGACGGCUGAGUAACGCGUGGGAACGUGCCCCAAAGUGAGGAAUAACUGCCCGAAAGGGUAGCUAAUACCGCAUAUUAUCUUCGGAUCAAAGGAUUUAUCCGCUUUGGGAGCGGCUCGCGUCGGAUUAGGUAGUUGGUGAGGUAAUGGCUCACCAAGCCGACGAUCCGUAGCUGGUCUGAGAGGAUGACCAGCCAGGCUGGAACUGAGACACAGUCCAGACUCCUACGGGAGGGAGCAGUGAGGAAUCUUCCACAAUGGGCGAAAGCCUGAUGGAGCAGCGCCGCGUGCAGGACGAAGGCCUUCGGGUUGUAAACUGCUUUUAUAAGUGAGGAAUAUGACGGUAACUUAUGAAUAAGGACCGGCUAACUACGUG